GGGUCCUUCUGAGGAGGGAGGCACAGGAGGGAGCUAAGCUGGGCUUUUCUCCACUUGGUAGCAAUCCCAAGAUGACAUCUGGCUCGGAUUUAAUCCGUUUCCAAGGUCGUUCAUGGAUCAGAAUCCUUCACGUCCAGAACUCAGGCUUUGAAGACAGCUCUAUGUUUUGUGGGGCAUAAAUUUGCUCUGUUUUUCUUAGGACAGCCCUUCGGAGGUGCCUGCAUUUUCAUUUUGCACUGAACUUUGUGAAUUUGGCAGUCAGCCCUGCCAUGGCCAUUUUCAUCACUUUCGGCCUCCGGUGGAGCAGCGGCCGAUCUGCUCCUCCCUGGGCAGGCAGCUGAGCACGGCGCAGCGGCCCCUCCGGAGCCGGCAGUAGAACCUAUGCAAGAUUGGAUCGAUCCAAGCGUUCGGCUGCGGGGCGGAGCUGCGUGGAAGGCAAACACCAUGGACCUCGGCAGUGGAGCGCAGAGAACAGUACACCUGCUGUGGAGCCCACAGAGAAAGCCCUGUCCCAACUUCUGCUCACCUUUCCUCACCUUUUCCAGGAAGUCAAAGCCGUUUAACUGGAUCCUGACUGGAAGAAUCCAGCUUCAACACCUCCCGAGGUACAGAGAGAGGGUGACAGUUGCCUGAAUUAUCCCAGCAGGCAUGAGGCGGAGCAGGAAAGAAACCAAAUGCAAACUGCGCUGAACAAUGAGAUUCUAACUCUUGGUAAA